UCCGACGGUGAGGGGUGAAGGCUGGGGGCGCAAACCGGAUUAGAUACCCGGGUAGUCCCAGCAGUAAACGAUGCCAGCUAUGUGUUGCUGGAACCAUGGGUUCCACAGUGCCGAAGGAACCGUGAAGCUGGCCACCUGGGAAGUACGGUCGCAAUGCUGAAACUUAAAGGAAUUGGCGGGGGAGUACCACAGACCGGUGGAGCCUGCGGUUUAAUUGGAUACAACGCCGGGAAUCUUACCGGAGGGGACAGCAGUAUGAAGGCCAGGCUAAAGACCUUGCCAGGAUCAGCUGAGAGGAGGUGCAUGGCCGUCGCCAGUUCGUACCGUGAGGCAUCCUGUUUAGUCAGGCAACGAUCGAGACCCGCAGUCUUAUUUGCCAGCAUGCCCUUUGGGGUGUAUGGGUACAAUAAGACGACCGCCAGCGCUAAGCUGGAGGAAGGAGCGGGCUACGGUAGGUCAGCAUGCCCCGAAUCCUCCGGGAUACACGCGGGCUACAAUGGUCAGGACAAAAGGUACCGACCUCGAAAGAGUGAGGUAAUCCACAGACCUGAUCUCAGUCCGGAUCGAAGGCUGCAACUCGCCUUCGUGCAGAUGGAAUCGGUAGUAAUCGUGACUCAGAAUGUCACGGUGAAUAUG
rnacentral:rRNA from 1 species